rnacentral:siRNA from 1 species
ACUUACAUGCCCUACAUCUCU